rnacentral:lncRNA from 10 species
GGUGGUUAUGGAGGUCUGAGCAGUGUGAGUGGUGGUUAUGGAGGUGGUUAUGGUGAUCAGAGCAAUGUGAGUGGUGGUUGUGGAGGUGGUUAUGGUGAUCAGAGCAAUGUGAGUGGUGGUUAUGGAGAUCAGAGCAGUGUGACUGGUGGUUAUGGAGGUGGUUAUGGUGGUCAGAGCAGCUGAGUGGUGGUUAUGGAGGUGGUUAUGGUGAUCAGAGCAAUGUGAGUGGUGGUUAUGGAGGUGGUUAUGGUGAUCAGAGCAAUGUGAGUGGUGGUUGUGGAGGUGGUUAUGGUGAUCAGAGCAGUGUGAGUGGUGGUUAUGGAGGUGGUUAUGGUGAUCAGAGCAAUGUGAGUGGUGGUAUUGGAGGUGGUUAUGGUGGUCAGAGCAGCUGAGUGGUGGUUAUGGAGGUGGUUAUGGUGGUCAGAGCAGUGUGAGUGGUGGUUGUGGAGGUGGUUAUGGUGAUCAGAGCAAUGUGAGUGGUGGUUAUGGAGGUGGUUAUGGUGAUCAGAGCAAUGUGAGUGGUGGUUGUGGAGGUGGUUAUGGUGAUCAGAGCAAUGUGAGUGGUGGUUAUGGAGGUGGUUAUGGUGAUCAGAGCAAUGUGAGUGGUGGUUGUGGAGGCGGUUAUGGUGAUCAGAGCUUGUGAGUGGUGGUUAUGGAGGUGGUUAUGGUGAUCAGAGCAAUGUAAGUGGUGGUUGUCGAGGCGGUUAUGGAGGUCAGAGCAGCUGAGUGGUGGUUAUGAGGUGGUUAUGGUGAUCAGAGCAAUGUGAGUGGUGGUUGUGGAGGCGGUUAUGGAGGUCAGAGCAGCUGAGUGGUGGUUAUGGA